GUCCUCGUGGUGUAGUGGUCAGCACACUCGGCGCGUAUUCGAGAGGUCCGUGGUUCGAGUCCCGACGAGGGCA
rnacentral:tRNA from 1 species